rnacentral:rRNA from 1 species
GACGUAGGAGGCGAGCGUUGUCCGGAUUCAUUGGGCGUAAAGAGCACGCAGGCGGUUUGGCAAGUCGGAUGUGAAAACCCGAAGCUCAACUUCGGGCCUGCAUCCGAAACUGCCCGACUAGAGGUAGGUAGGGGAGAUCGGAAUUCCUGGUGUAGCGGUGAAAUGCGCAGAUAAUCAGGAGGAACACCAAUAGCGAAGGCAGCUCGCUGGGACGGUACUGACACUAAGGCCGCGAAAGCGUGGGGAGCGAACGAGGGA